UUUUUUGAUUCUUGGAAUGAUUUGGAGAGGUGUCUUGUCAUGUAGACGCCCUCCAGAAAUUCAUAGGCAGUAUGGUUUGCACCUGAACCAGACGUAAUAAUAAUAAAAUCGUUUGUUUGGGUAUGAUUGUGCUUGCCUUAACCCACCCAUUUCUUUGUUUGGGUGACCUCAGAUCAGGUAGGGAUACCCGCUGAACUUAA
rnacentral:misc_RNA from 1 species